rnacentral:rRNA from 1 species
GACGAACGCUGGCGGCGUGCCUAAUACAUGCAAGUAGAACGCAGUUGCGAACGGGUGAGUAACGCGUAGGUAACUGCCUCAUAGCGGGGGAUAACCAUUGGAAACGAUAGCUAAUACCGCAUACUGUGAGAUGGACCUGAGUUGUAUUAGCUAGUUGGUGAGGUAAAGGCUCACCAAGGCGACGAUACAUAGCCGACCUGAGAGGGUGGUCGGCCACCCUGGGACUGGGACACGGCCCAAGCUCCCUCGGGAGGCAGCAGUAGGGGAUCUUCGGCCAUGGACGGAAGUCUGGCCGAGCAACGCCGCGUGAGUGAAGAAGGGUUUCGGAGCUUAAAGCUCUGUUGUUAGAGAAGCGGUACCUACCCAGAAAGGGACGGCUAACUACGUGCCAGCAGCCGCGGUAAUUC